CGCAGUUAAGCGUGCUUGGGCGAGAGUAGUACUAGGAUGGGUGACCUCCUAAGAAGUCCUCGUGUUGCACCCC
rnacentral:rRNA from 1 species